UACGUAGGGUGCGAGCGUUGUCCGGAAUUACUGGGCGUAAAGAGCUCGUAGGUGGUUUGUCGCGUUGUUCGUGAAAACCGGGGGCUUAACCCUCGGCGUGCGGGCGAUACGGGCAGACUUGAGUACUGCAGGGGAGACUGGAAUUCCUGGUGUAGCGGUGGAAUGCGCAGAUAUCAGGAGGAAAACCGGUGGCGAAGGCGGGUCUCUGGGCAGUAACUGACGCUGAGGAGCGAAAGCGUGGGGAGCGAACAGG
rnacentral:rRNA from 1 species